GCGCAGUUAGUGUAGUGGUUCAGCACUCUCGUUUCCCAAACGAGCGACCCGGGUUCGAACCCCGGACUGCGCA
rnacentral:tRNA from 2 species